rnacentral:rRNA from 1 species
AGCGAACGCUGGCGGCAGGCUUAACACAUGCAAGUCGAGCGGGCACUUUCGGGUGUCAGCGGCGGACGGGUGAGUAACGCGUGGGAACGUGCCCUCUGGUUCGGAAUAACUCAGGGAAACUUGAGCUAAUACCGGAUACGCCCUUUUGGGGAAAGGCUUGCUGCCGGAGGAUCGGCCCGCGUCUGAUUAGCUAGUUGGUGAGGUAACGGCUCACCAAGGCGACGAUCAGUAGCUGGUCUGAGAGGAUGAUCAGCCACACUGGGACUGAGACACGGCCCAGACUCCUACGAGAAGCAGCAGUGGGGAAUAUUGGACAAUGGGCGCAAGCCUGAUCCAGCCAUGCCGCGUGAGUGAUGAAGGCCUUAGGGUUGUAAAGCUCUUUUAUCCGGGACGAUAAUGACGGUACCGGAGGAAUAAGCCCCGGCUAACUUCGUG